CAGUCGCCGCGGGAAUAUGUAGGUGGCAAGCGUUGUCCGGAAUUAUUGGGCGUAAAGGGCUCGCAGGCGGUUUCUUAAGUCUGAUGUGAAAGCCCCCGGCUCAACCGGGGAGGGUCAUUGGAAACUGGGAAACUUGAGUGCAGAAGAGGAGAGUGGGAUUCCACGUGUAGCGGUGAAAUGCGUAGAGAUGUGGAGGAACACCAGUGGCGAAGGCGACUCUCUGGUCUGUAACUGACGCUGAGGAGCGAAAGCGUGGGGAGCGAACAGGAUUAGAGACCCGAGUAGUCCCUGUCUCUUAUAC
rnacentral:rRNA from 1 species